GUGUAGAGUGUUGGGUUUUAUCAAUAUGGAAUAAAGGCCCAUAAUAAGUCCAACUUUAAUACUACAUCUCAGCAUCUAUUUACUUCCUUUCCUUGCCCAACUUUUGUCUGGUUAGACACCUAAUUGUAAUUGUAAUUUCUUUUUAAUUACGGGAAGAAUCAAUAGCGUUAAUAUUAUCACAUUAACGUUGUCUUCUUCGCUUUUGAAAACGGUUGGGUAUCUGUGGAUGUGGAUCAUGUCAUCAAAUAGUCAUGUUUUCUAGUAUCAGGAAAUAAUAAUCAAUAUCCCAAAGGAUUUUCGGAUCAACCAGCUCAGCUGCUUACUAUGUACGUAAGACAAAUUGAAACAGCUACCCCCCAUGUGGGUGGCAUGAAUUCUCAGGAGAUUCUGCUGAUUAUCUGGGAAAAGGGUGUUGAACACUGUCUAUCAUGAAUGCACAGGAACUGUGGUGUUAUGCAGUUCCAGAAAUUGUGCCUGAGUUUUGCAGGCCCAUGAGAAAAGGAUGUCCUGACUCUGAGUAGUUCCAAUCCCUUGGGUUUAUUUUGUCUUUGUUAGCGUCAUCAUUUUCAUUAUUUCAACAUCCCCAUAAUACCUUCUCCCACACCAUUUUCUCAGCCUUUUCUUGCAGUUUCUAGCAACAAGCCAAACAAGCUUGUUUGGAUUACUUAUUCAUAAUCAGUAUUCAAAUGUUAAAUUUCAAAUCAUGCCAUCAAGAAAUAUAUAAACAAGAACAUUAAAACUUUAAAAUUAUAACUAUGACUGAUCAGUUGAUCAGGCUUCCCAUUGUUUGAUCCUGGUGUCCUUUUCUCGGUUCUUUUCAGAAGGAAUGACAGCUGUGUUCUUGCUUCUUAGUUUAAUGGGAUCUGAAUCUUAACAAUCCUUUCUUUAUAAAAUUAUUCCGGUACAAAUAUAUUAAAAUAGGGUAUAAUUUUCAUUCCCAAAUAGUUCAUUUCAAUGACAACUUCUCAUGUUCUAGGCCAAGGAUCUUUAAUUAAUUCCCCUUAUCGUGGGUUAUCACGUCGGACUCCAAUGGAAGCAUUUCUUUUGAUGUCCCCUUCUUGAUUUGACUAUGUAAUAAAUGUCCGGAUAAGUUUCUUAACUGCUUAUCUUUUUCCUUUUUGUUUUUGUUUUUCUUUCUGUUUUUUUACAGGCUCGAUCUGCUAUACGCUGUAUAAUCUGCAUCUGCUUUGGUUUUCUGGUGGCACCUACUCCAAGAAAGUCAAUGAAUGGUGGUGGAAUGGUCUCAAAAUGGCUGUCUACUUCGCUUUCUGUGGAUGAUAAUGAAGGAUCACUGGCUGAAACCUGAGGUCGUGGUGCUGAUGUGUCCAAGAAACUGUAAGGGUUGUGAUUGGUUGACUGUUGCAUUGCCAUUAAAAACGGAGAGUGGUGGUGGGGAUGGGGAUAAAAACCAGAUGCAGCUUGAACUUCUUCACGGGGCCUAUCCCAAGAUCUGCCCAUCUUCUUAUUGCUCUUGGGACCUGAUGAACACAAAUUAAUCACAAGAACUCAAGAUACACAAAAAGCAGAAGAUAAACAAAAUAAAUCAAGACAUUCAACUUGGUUCAGCUGCAAAGAGAGCGACAGAUCAAACAAUGGAACAAGAAAAUGAGGCACGAUAUGAACGAAUGACAAAAUCAUGAGUAGCAGCACAGAUACCAAAUGCAUCCAAACUGAAGGAACAAAAAGGAAUAGGGGCAAAGGGCAAACCAGGGAAGAAAUCAAAAGACGCCUGUUGUGCACAGAAACCACUGUAAGGAAGGACUUUGCUGCUUGAAAUUGCUUCUCCACUGGUCAUGAGGGGUGAACCAUUUAAGCCACAAUCAAUCACACUACUGGCACCAUUAAAUGUUCCAAAUGGAAAAGAAGUAUUAUUGAUUAGUCCUCCGCUUGGGAAAUCGAGACAGUAUGGUAGUGUUUCUGUUCUUGUGGCUGCAUCUCUGCAAGCAAGGCUAGGAUUUUCCUCCAUCCUCCUGUAUACAGAUUGACCCAACUUCCUCCUCCUGUAAGCACUGGAUUGUUCUCUAAACUUCCUAGCCAUUAUAACAUGCCAAUGGUUCUUGACUGCGUUA